UACAGGGGGUGCAAACGUUGCUCGGAAUCACUGGGCGUAAAGCGCACGUAGGCGGUUUGCUAAGUCAGGGGUGAAAUCCUGGAGCUCAACUCCAGAACUGCCUUUGAUACUGGCGGACUGAGUCCGGGAGAGGUGAGUGGAACUGCGAGUGUAGAGGUGAAAUUCGUAGAUAUUCGCAAGAACACCAGUGGCGAAGGCGGCUCACUGGCCCGGUACUGACGCUGAGGAGCGAAAG
rnacentral:rRNA from 1 species